rnacentral:sRNA from 1 species
AGUCACUUCCUUGCUU